AGCAGCCGCGGUAAUUCCAGCUCCAAUAGCGUAUAUUAAAGUUGUUGCAGUUAAAAAGCUCGUAGUUGAGUUUCGGGGUCAGUAGGUUGGUCAUGCCACUGGUAUGUACUGGUCUCACUGAUUCCUCCUUCCUGAUGAACUGUAAUGCCAUUAAUUUGGUGUUGCAGGGAAUCUGGACUGUUACUUUGAAAAAAUUAGAGUGUUUAAAGCAGGCUAACGCCUGAAUACAUUAGCAUGGAAUAAUGAAAUAGGACGUUCGAUCCUAUUUUGUUGGUUUCUAGGAUUGACGUAAUGAUUAAUAGGGAUAGUUGGGGGCAUUAGUAUUCAAUUGUCAGAGGUGAAAUUCUUGGAUUUAUUGAAGACUAACUACUGCGAAAGCAUUUGCCAAGGAUGUUUUCAUUAAUCAAGAACGAAAGUUAGGGGAUCGAAGACGAUCAGAUACCGUCGUAGUCUUAACCAUAAACUAUGCCGACUAGGAAUCGGAUGAUGUUAAUUUUUAAUGACUCAUUCGGUCG
rnacentral:rRNA from 1 species